rnacentral:rRNA from 1 species
AAUAUUGCGCAAUGGGUGAAAGCCUGACGCAGCAACGCCGCGUGGGGGAUGAAGGCCCUCGGGUCGUAAACCCCUUUUYUCAGGGAAGAUAAUGACGGUACCUGAGGAAUAAGUCUCGGCUAACUACGUGCCAGCAGCCGCGGUAAGACGUAGGAGGCGAGCGUUAUCCGGAAUUAUUGGGCGUAAAGGGCGUGUAGGCGGCUCUUCAAGUCUCUGGUGAAAUCUCCCGGCUUAACCGGGAGGGUGCCAGGGAAACUGGAGGGCUUGAGGGCAGCAGAGGGGGGUGGAAUUCCCGGUGUAGUGGUGAUAUGCGUAGAUAUCGGGAGGAACACCAGUGGCGAAGGCGGCCCCCUGGGCUGUUCCUGACGCUGAGGCGCGAAAGCGUGGGGAGCAAACAGGAUUAGAUACCCUGGUAGUCCACGCCGUAAACGAUGGAUACUAGGUA